GCGUGCGGGAAGAAGGCCUUCGGGUUGUAAACCGCUUUUGUCAGGGAAGAAAUAUCUUGGGCUAAUACCCCAGGAGGAUGACGGUACCUGAAGAAUAAGCACCGGCUAACUACGUGCCAGCAGCCGCGGUAAUACGUAGGGUGCGAGCGUUAAUCGGAAUUACUGGGCGUAAAGCGUGCGCAGGCGGUGAUGCAAGACAGAUGUGAAAUCCCCGGGCUCAACCUGGGAAUUGCAUUUGUGACUGCAUCGCUCGAGUGCGGCAGAGGGGGAUGGAAUUCCGCGUGUAGCAGUGAAAUGCGU
rnacentral:rRNA from 1 species